rnacentral:rRNA from 1 species
UACAGAGGUCCCAAGCGUUGUUCGGAUUCACUGGGCGUAAAGGGUGCGUAGGUGGCUUGGUAAGUUCGAUGUGAAAUCUCCGGGCUUAACCCGGAAACGGCAUUGAAUACUAUUGAGCUGGAGGUUUGGAGGGGGGACUGGAAUUCUCGGUGUAGCAGUGAAAUGCGUAGAUAUCGAGAGGAACACCAGUGGCGAAGGCGAGUCCCUGGACAACACCUGACACUGAGGCACGAAAGCGUGGGGAGCAAAAGGG